rnacentral:rRNA from 1 species
UAGUGAGUUUGAUCCUGGCUCAGGACGAACGCUGGCGGCGUGCUUAACACAUGCAAGUCGAGCGGAAAGGCCACUUCGGUGGUACUCGAGCGGCGAACGGGUGAGUAACACGUGAGUAAUCUGCCCCUGGCUUUGGGAUAGCCACCGGAAACGGUGAUUAAUACCGGAUAUGACCACUUCGCGCAUGUGAUGGUGGUGGAAAGUUUUUCGGCCAGGGAUGUGCUCGCGGCCUAUCAGCUUGAUGGUGAGGUAAUGGCUCACCAUGGCUUCGACGGGUAGCCGGCCUGAGAGGGUGACCGGCCACACUGGGGACUGAGACACGGCCCAGACUCCUACGGGGAGGCAGCAGUGGGGAAUAUUGGACAAUGGGCGAAAGCCUGAUCCCAGCAAUGCCGCGUGAGUGAUGAAGG